rnacentral:lncRNA from 1 species
GUUUCCUAAACUUUGUGAGGGCAUUCAUUCUCAAUGUCGUGUGUCGGCCACCACAUAAUUUACAGAUGUGGACUUGUGCCCAUGAAGAGAAUCAUAAUAUACAUGAGUAAUGUUAGAAAAAAAAAUUUAUGGACAAAAUUUUAUAAAUUUAAUGUUUAAUAAUUGAAUUAUUACAUAAAUAUUGAUAAAUGUGAUCAUUUCGUAUUUAUGACAUAUUAUUUAAUUUACAAAUUUUGUCUACAAAUUUAAUCUUCAUAACAUUACUGUAUAUAUAAAAUUGUUUUCCAUGGUAAAAACCAUGUAAGUUUAUCCACUAUAACUAGUGAUUCACCCUGAUAAACCAGUUUUAAGAUAAUCUGACAUUUAAUUAUACAUGCAAUCGCAUUAUUGAUUAGUGUCUCACAUCUAUGUCUCACAUGUGACACUUUUCCUUAAUAACAUAAUAUAUGUACAGGUCCUUAGAGCAACUCCAGCGUUGCUGGUUGCUCAGGGGACAGGCAA